AUGCUUGCUUUGGUGGCUCAUACACUAAAAUUGGAAGGACCCAGAGAUUAGCAUGGCCCCUGCACAAGAAUGAUAUGCAUAUUUGUGAAGCAUUCCAUAUUGUU
ensembl:snRNA U6 U6 spliceosomal RNA